rnacentral:lncRNA from 1 species
CUUGUAUUUGCUUAUAAAAGUCUCAGUUACAUAUUCCUGAAACUUUCCAUGCCUUUCAGCUAAAUGAGUUGACACUAAGCAAAGAUACUAAAUAAUGUAGAAAAUGCUGAUUGUGCAUUUAUAAACCAGAAAGCACUAAUAACUUUACCCAGAUAAUUUGAUACCUAUAUAAUAAAUAAAAUAAAAUUAAUUUUAUUCUACUUUAUUUUGUAGAUUUUUCUGAAAAAAAAAAAAAAAGAAGAGAACUACGUUCAGCAAGCUUUCUGCAUAAGAUGGCAUUAAGGAUUGAAAUGAACUUUGGAAAAACAUUUAAAGUGGCUUGGCAAGAGAAGAUGUUGAGGCCAAAUGCAAGAAGAGGGUUGUAACCCUGGGGAGACAUAUGUACUGCUGUGCAGAGUCACAUAAGAGAACUGUCUGGCACCACGUGGAAACAGAGGGAAACUGUAGCUCUUUCUGAUGACCUGGGCCAGAUUCUUGUCUUCAGCAAAACAUUAUGGCACCAGUUAAACCAACAGAAUGAUGUCAGUUUACUGUGAGAAUCCAGAAUUAAACAAGACUCUGUUUGAAGCCUGUGCCUGUCUAUCAGAACAUAUGGAUAUAUACAACACCCUGAUGGUUCCAUGAAAUGUCUUGAAUACAACAUGCAUUCAGAACAUUCAGAGGGAUUUUAUUAGUCAACAGCUUUACAUUAAAACACUUGAAGAGCAGACUCUACGAUCUGUGAGGUGGGUUCUGCGAGUGAUUUGAGGAGGUGACAACUCCAGACUUCUAUUAUUUGGAUAAUUCUUCAUAGAAUUUGAAAUUUUUCCC